AGAACGAACGCUGGCGGCAUGCCUAACACAUGCAAGUCGAACGAGACCUUCGGGUCUAGUGGCGCACGGGUGCGUAACGCGUGGGAAUCUGCCCAUUGGUUCGGAAUAACAGUUAGAAAUGACUGCUAAUACCGGAUGACGACGUAAGUCCAAAGAUUUAUCGCCGAGGGAUGAGCCCGCGUAGGAUUAGCUAGUUGGUGAGGUAAUGGCUCACCAAGGCGACGAUCCUUAGCUGGUCUGAGAGGAUGAUCAGCCACACUGGGACUGAGACACGGCCCAGACUCCUACGGGAGGCAGCAGUGGGGAAUAUUGGACAAUGGGCGAAAGCCUGAUCCAGCAAUGCCGCGUGAGUGAUGAAGGCCUUAGGGUUGUAAAGCUCUUUUACCAGGGAUGAUAAUGACAGUACCUGGAGAAUAAGCUCCGGCUAACUCCGCGCCAGCAGCCGCGGUAA
rnacentral:rRNA from 1 species